rfam:Helianthus annuus linkage group 13, whole genome shotgun sequence.
ACGACCUUACUUGAACAGGAUCUGUUCUAUAGGCUCGUACCUCUGUAUUCUUGAUUCCUAAGAAGACAGAAACCCAUGUCUGGUUGAUGAAUGAAAACCGUGUGACUAGAGCGUGAUUAACGGAGCUUCAUGGUCUUGACCAUGGCUCGGUAGAGGAUCGUUGUCAGCCCAUCUGAUGGGUCUUGGCAUGGUCACAUGGUUAUCUGACAGACA